UGGAGUUUUAAGGGCAGGGGAGGUGUGAAUGCCAUAUUUGUGUCUUGGAAAGAUGGCUUUGGCUGCAUGACAGCAUUUGGAUUAGAGAUGUCUAAGAAUGGAAAGAGGUACACACAUUAGGAGACUGCAGUUUUGGUGAGAGGUGAUGGAAGCUCGAGACUAGUGAGGAAAAGGGAGGUGUCAACAUGAGCCCUAGAUUCUUGGAGUCCAGAACUUGAAGAAAAAAGAGUAUUUUUGUAAAUUGACCUUUGUUAAAUUUUAGGGCAAGAUGUUUCAAAAUUACCCUCUUAAUGACUUAUUUUUUAAAAUAGUAUAGACUGCAAUAAAUAAGAACGAAAGAUCAGACAUUUUCAUAUUAAUGUACUAGUUGGUGUUAUAAACUUCUAUCAUCACUUCUAAAAAUGUGUUUAAUUUAUUAUACUGAAAUGAGGCUGAAGGGAUUUAUAACUUCAGUAAUUUGAAAUGCGGUGGAUUUUGCUUUUGUGUAUUAUCUUUGUUUCAACAACUGUGGUUUUAUUUCCCCUCAGUAUUUGAUUUUCAUCAAGCAGCUGAUGGUAUCCAGGAACAACAGAGACAAGAACAAGCAGGAAAAAAUUUGGGUACAACAAAAAAGGGCAUUGGCCCAGUUUAUUCGUCCAAAGCUGCUCGGAGUGGACUCAGGAUGUGCGACCUUGUUUCUGACUUUGAUGGCUUCUCUGAGAGGUUUAAAGUUCUAGCUAACCAAUACAAAUCUAUAUACCCCACUUUGGAAAUAGACAUUGAAGGUGAAUUACAAAAACUCAAGGGUUAUAUGGAAAAGAUUAAACCAAUGGUGAGAGAUGGAGUUUAUUUUCUAUAUGAGGCCCUACAUGGACCACCAAAGAAAAUCUUGGUAGAAGGUGCAAAUGCAGCACUAUUAGAUAUUGAUUUUGGGACUUACCCUUUUGUAACCU
rnacentral:lncRNA from 10 species